rnacentral:rRNA from 1 species
UACGUAGGGGGCAAGCGUUGUCCGGAUUUACUGGGCGUAAAGAGCGUGUAGGCGGCCAAGCAGGUCCGUUGUGAAAACUGGAGGCUUAACCUCCAGACGUCGACGGAAACCGCGUGGCUAGAGUCCGGAAGAGGAGAGUGGGAUUCCUGGUGUAGCGGUGAAAUGCGCAGAUAUCAGGAGGAACACCGGUGGCGAAGGCGGGUCUCUGGGCCGAUACUGGCGCUGAGGAGCGAAAGCGUGGGGAGCGAACAGG